GGUCAGAUGGCCGAGCGGUCUAAGGCGCCACGUUAAGGUUAACCCUUAAUUCAAUCAUUGAUUCCGUGGUCCGAAAGGGCGUGGGUUCGAAUCCCACUCUGAUCA